GAUGAACGCUGGCGGCGUGCUUAACACAUGCAAGUCGAACGAUGAAGCCCAGCUUGCUGGGUGGAUUAGUGGCGAACGGGUGAGUAACACGUGAGUAACCUGCCCUUAACUCUGGGAUAAGCCUGGGAAACUGGGUCUAAUACCGGAUAGGAGCGCCUACCGCAUGGUGGGUGUUGGGAAGAUUUAUCGGUUUUGGAUGGACUCGCGGCCUAUCAGCUUGUUGGUGAGGUAAUGGCUCACCAAGGCGACGACGGGUAGCCGGCCUGAGAGGGUGACCGGCCACACUGGGACUGAGACACGGCCCAGACUCCUACGGGAGGCAGCAGUGGGGAAUAUUGCACAAUGGGCGAAAGCCUGAUGCAGCGACGCCGCGUGAGGGAUGACGGCCUUCGGGUUGUAAACCUCUGUCAGUAGGGAAGAAGCGAAAGUGACGGUACCUGCAGAAGAAGCACCGGCUAACUACGUG
rnacentral:rRNA from 1 species